rnacentral:ncRNA from 1 species
CCGCUGUCCGAGGGGUGCCCCGUCAACCGGGGCUGAGAUGGCAUGUCGCCGAACCCUUUGAACCUGAUCCGGGUCAUGCCGGCGAAGGAACGGG